GAGCCAACUGCCUGGUUCAGACCUUGACCUUGCUGUGUGACCUGGCACAAGUGGCUUCACCUCUCUGAGCCCCAGUUUCCUCCUCUGGACAAUGGAUGAUGUCAAUGAUGAUGAUGUACCCACCUCUUCGGGUCAUUGCGAAGACGCUUUCAGGGUCAUGAUGGGGAGAAGUAUAUCAUGUGAGAAAAAUAGGAGUGUCAGGGGGCCUGUGGUCAACAGAGAUAGAAAGAGAGUCGUCUAGGGAAAGAG